GAUGAAGAACGUAGCAAAAUGCGAUACUUGGUGUGAAUUGCAGAAUCCCGUGAACCAUCGAGUUUUUGAACGCAAGUUGCGCCCGAAGCCUUUUGGCCGAGGGCACGUCUGCCUGGGCGUCACGCAUCGCGUCGCCCCCCACAAUUCUCCGUAAAGGGAACAUGUGUUUUGGGGGCGGAUAUUGGUCUCCCGUGCUCAUGGCGUGGUUGGCCGAAAUAGGAGUCCUUUCGAUGGACGCACGAACUAGUGGUGGUCGUAAAAACCCUCGUCUUUUGUUUCGUGCUGUUGCUCGCAAGGUAAACUCUUUAAAAACCCCAAUGUGUCGUCUCUUGACGACGCUUCGACCGCGACCCCAGGUCAGGCGGGACUACCCGCUGAGUUUAAGCAUAUCAAUAAGCGAAGGA
rnacentral:misc_RNA from 1 species